rnacentral:rRNA from 1 species
GACGAACGCUGGCGGCGUGCUUAACACAUGCAAGUCGAACGGAAAGGCCUGCUUUCCCUUGUGGUUUGCGGGUACUCGAGUGGCUAACGGGUGAGUAACACGUGAGUGAUCUGCCCCCAACUUGGGUAUAAGCCUGGGAAACUGGGUCUAAUUCCCGAUAGGACUGCAGGGUGGUGCCUUUGGUGGCAAACGUUUUUCUAGUGGUUGGGGAUGAGCUCGCGGCCUAUCAGCUUGUUGGUGGGGUAAUGGCCUACCAAGGCGGCGCCUGGUAGCCGGCCUGAGAGGGUGGACGGUGACAUUGGGACUGAGAUACGGCCCAGACUCCUACGGGAGGCAGCAGUGGGGAAUAUUGCGCAAUGGGCGUAAGCCUGAUGCAGCGACGCAGCGUGGGGGAUGACGGGCUUCGGGUUGUAAACUCCUUUCGACCGCGAGGAAGCCACCUGGUUGGAAGGGUGGUGACGGUAGUGGUAGAAGAAGCACCGGCUAACUACGUG